rnacentral:rRNA from 1 species
CCUACGGGUGGCAGCAGUGGGGAAUAUUGGACAAUGGGGGGAACCCUGAUCCAGCCAUGCCGCGUGUGUGAAGAAGGCCCUCGGGUUGUAAAGCACUUUCAGUGAGGAAGAACGCCUGGUGGUUAAUACCCAUCAGGAAAGACAUCACUCACAGAAGAAGCACCGGCUAACUCCGUGCCAGCAGCCGCGGUAAUACGGAGGGUGCGAGCGUUAAUCGGAAUUACUGGGCGUAAAGCGCGCGUAGGUGGCUUGAUAAGCCGGUUGUGAAAGCCCCGGACUCAACCUGGGAACGGCAUCCGGAACUGUCAAGCUAGAGUGCAGGAGAGGAAGGUAGAAUUCCCGGUGUAGCGGUGAAAUGCGUAGAGAUCGGGAGGAAUACCAGUGGCGAAGGCGGCCUUCUGGACUGACACUGACACUGAGGUGCGAAAGCGUGGGUAGCAAACAGGAUUAGAUACCCUUGUAGUC